rnacentral:sRNA from 1 species
GCUCGCUCGCUCCCUCUCGGGAAGCUGCGAAAGUGCUUUGGCGGUUUGUCCAUCCGCAGCUUCGGCUUUUCCAGUCUGGUGGCCCUUCCGGCCACCUCUUUAACCCUAGCUUUCCCUCCCCCUUUUUUCGGUCAGAGAUCGGCGGAGACCCUCGAAGUGCGCAAACUUGACACUCACCCUGACCGGACUGGGGUUUUAAGGGGUGUGGCAGGAGGUUUUGGACUCGAUGAGUUUCCACCGAAAUGUCGGAGAAGUCAGGCCAGAGCACAAAAGCAAAGGAUGGGAAAAAGUAUGCAACACUCAGUUUAUUUAAUACUUACAAGGGGAAAUCAUUAGAAACACAGAAAACCACAGUUGCAGCUCGACAUGGAUUACAGAGUCUUGGAAAAGUCGGUAUUUCACGGCGUAUGCCUCCACCUGCUAACCUCCCAAGUCUUAAAGCAGAAAACAAAGGCAAUGAUCCUAAUGUAAACAUUGUACCUAAAGAUGGCACAGGGUGGGCAUCAAAACAAGAGCAACAUGAAGAAGAAAAAACACCAGAAGUGCCACCAGCACAGCCAAAACCUGGGGUUGCAGCUCCCCCAGAAGUAGCACCUGCUCCCAAAUCAUGGGCCAGUAACAAGCAAGGAAUCCAAGUGAAUAGUCAGUUUCAGCAAGAAUUUCCCAGCCUGCAGGCAGCUGGGGAUCAGGAAAAAAAAGAAAAGGAAACAAAUGAUGACAACUAUGGACCUGGACCCAGUUUACGUCCACCAAAUGUUGCUUGUUGGAGAGAUGGUGGUAAGGCUGCUGGCUCACCUUCGUCAUCUGAUCAAGAUGAAAAGCUCCCUGGCCAGGAUGAAAGCACAGCUGGAACAUCAGAGCAAAAUGAUAUCCUCAAAGUGGUGGAAAAGAGGAUAGCUUGUGGUCCUCCACAGGCUAAACUGAAUGGACAGCAGGCUGCUCUCGCUUCCCAGUAUAGAGCUAUGAUGCCUCCUUAUAUGUUCCAACAGUAUCCGAGGAUGACAUAUCCUCCUCUACAUGGUCCCAUGAGAUUCCCACCUUCUUUAUCUGAAACAAACAAAGGCCUUCGAGGAAGAGGCCCACCUCCUUCAUGGGCCUCUGAGCCUGAACGCCCAUCCAUUCUUAGUGCAUCAGAACUGAAGGAGCUUGAUAAAUUUGAUAACCUAGAUGCUGAAGCUGAUGAAGGUUGGGCAGGUAAGAGGCAAAAUUAAUUAAGUCCUUUAAAUUGUUAGAUGCUUUCAAGCAGCCAGUCUGAGUUUUCCUUAAUUUAAUAGGUGCUCAGAUGGAAGUAGAUUAUACAGAGCAACUGAAUUUCAGUGAUGAUGAUGAACAAGGAAGUAACAGUCCUAAAGAAAAUAACAGUGAGGAUCAAGGUUCAAAAGCCUCUGAAAACAAUGAAAACAAAAAAGAAACAGAUGAAGUUUCCAACACUAAAUCAUCUUCCCAAAUACCUGCCCAACCAUCAGUAGCAAAAGUUCCCUAUGGGAAAGGACCUUCAUUUAAUCAGGAACGUGGAACAUCUUCACAUCUGCCACCACCUCCAAAGUUGCUUGCACAGCAGCAUCCACCUCCAGAUCGACAGGCAGUACCUGGAAGACCAGGCCCCUUUCCCUCCAAGCAGCAAGUAGCUGAUGAAGAUGAAAUAUGGAAGCAAAGACGAAGACAACAAUCAGAAAUUUCUGCAGCAGUAGAACGUGCUCGUAAACGGCGUGAAGAGGAAGAGCGAAGAAUGGAAGAACAAAGGAAGGCAGCUUGUGCGGAGAAACUGAAACGAUUGGAUGAGAAGCUUGGCAUCCUGGAAAAACAACCAUCUCCAGAGGAAAUUAGGGAAAGGGAGCGAGAAAAAGAACGGGAGCGUGAGAAAGAACUUGAAAAAGAACAAGAACAGGAGCGAGAGAAGGAGAGGGAAAAAGAGAGAGAGAGAGAGGAAAAGGAGAAAGAGCUGGAGAAGGAGCAGGAAAAACAAAGAGAAAUGGAGAAAGAAAGAAAGCAAGAAAAAGAAAAAGAA